UGAGAGAACCAAGGGCUCAAGCGGAAGGAGAGUGGCUUGGGCAUGCUCUUUCCAAUUUUACUCGCGAUCCCAGACGGACGUCUGAGGAAAAUACUCAAGUAGUGCAGUGAAAGGAAAAAUUCUAACCUCGACCGUAAUUACCGCGUGUCCCUCGUGGCUCAGAUCUAGUCAAAAGAUCAGCCGACCAUUCCUACGUUUAUUAAGCGAAGGCCGAACCCAUCGGGUUUGGCCGUACGUAAUACCGUACGAAACGCCGGUCAUAGUGCCGUAAGCCGUACUCACUACAGUCUCGUCACCUUACCACACAUAUAAAUACCCAGCGUCCCGAUCGACUACAGUAUGGGUUAGCCGUCUUCGACCCCAAAUCUUCUUUCGGCGUGGCGUCUGCAUACAUGUGAGCAUCACUGUAUUUACCGCAGCGUGUACCGGCGUGGGUCCACACACAUACAAGCCUUGCUCGGCCUACCCCAGUGAAAAACGUGACUUUCGUCAUUGCUACGUCGCUUACGCCGCCCGCAUACGAACAGUAACGCUAAAGGAGAAGACAUUUACCGGUGCCGAAAUACUGUUUGCGUUGCUGAUGAAGUCAUUCGGUGUCUCGAUCAUGAUGGCUAUGCCCAUGCAUUUCUUCAUAUUAGAAUAAUACUUUGGAACCCCACUAUUGUACUGACCUAGGAUUAACACUAGGAUUAAC